ensembl:snRNA U6 U6 spliceosomal RNA
GUGCUCGCUUCGGCAGCACAUAUACUAAAAUUGGAACGAUACAGAGAAGAUUAGCAUGGCCCCUGCACAAAUAUAUACCCUGAGGCUUAAGAUUAAGUGAUUUACU